UCUACGGGAGGCAGCAGUGGGGAAUAUUGCACAAUGGGGGAAACCCUGAUGCAGCGACGCCGCGUGAGUGAAGAAGUAUCUCGGUACGUAAAGCUCUAUCAGCAGGGAAGAAAAUGACGGUACCUGACUAAGAAGCCCCGGCUAACUACGUGCCAGCAGCCGCGGUAAUACGUAGGGGGCAAGCGUCAGCCGGAUUUACUGGGUGUAAAGGGAGCGUAGACGGCAGUAUAAGUCUGGAGUGAAAGCCCGGGGCUUAACCCCGGCACUGCUUUGGAAACUGUGCGGCUGGAGUGCAGGAGGGGUAAGCGGAAUUCGUGGUGUAGCGGUGAAAUGCGUAGAUAUUAGGAGGAACACCGGUGGCGAAGGCGGCUUACUGAACUGUAACUGACGUUGAGGCUCGAAAGCGUGGGGAGCAAACAGGAUUAGAUACCCUUGUAGUA
rnacentral:rRNA from 1 species